UACGUAGGGCGCAAGCGUUAUCCGGAAUUAUUGGGCGUAAAGAGCUCGUAGGCGGUUUGUCGCGUCUGCCGUGAAAGUCCGGGGCUCAACUCCGGAUCUGCGGUGGGUACGGGCAGACUAGAGUGAUGUAGGGGAGACUGGAAUUCCUGGUGUAGCGGUGAAAUGCGCAGAUAUCAGGAGGAACACCGAUGGCGAAGGCAGGUCUCUGGGCAUUAACUGACGCUGAGGAGCGAAAGCGU
rnacentral:rRNA from 1 species